GACAGCCUGUCAGACUGAGAACUCUGGCCCGCCCCUCCAGCUGCGUUUGGGGAGAAAGGUUGGUAGUUUGAGUCCAGCGAAGGGGCUCAUCCACAGCAGAGAGGGCUGACCUCCAAACACCGACCUUAGCCCCGCCCAGCGAGUCUGACGCUCCCACGUCGGCUUCUCGUUCUUCAGACGCUCAAUCUCCUAACAGGUGAAGACACACAACCUAAUUACAACUGUGUUAUUGAUAUCAGCGCAUGGCAGAUAUGCUGGAAUCUGGAGAAUCACUACGAUCUGCAGGGCUGACAGACUCAGGAAGUCGAAGUCAUCAGGGGGCUACUUUUUGGUUUGCCUGGCUCGUUUGGCUGCUCGUGCUGUAAGAAGAUAAUCAGUGGAGGACGUAACCGCGCUGUCCUUGAAAACUGAGCCAAACACUUGAAAGCAAAUACAAAAACACUGUUAAGCUUCUUCUUCCACCUGACAGAAAACAGUGGAAAACGAAAAGCAGCCAAUCCUCACCAAUGACAGGCUGGACCCUCGGGGACUUUUUCACAUUUUUAUAACCAGGACCUACAGAUGGAAAACAGCCUCUUGGCGAACUGUGGCCCAUCUACAGCAGCGUGUAUUAAUGUCCCUGUGAAAUAAACCGACGAAUGAAGCGCCUUCUGCUUCUUCA